CGCUGAUAUACUUCUGCCUUCCAAAGUUUCCGCUUUUACGACAAGACUAACAAUGCACAUAUAUUAACUGCACCGCGGGGGCUUGAGGUAAUCGGAUCGCAUUACGUUGGUUGAACUGUUGUAACAUGGAAGUUGAUUAGUUGCUCUCUUGGUUUGUGUCAGUGAACUCUAAUAUAUUUGUGUAUGUCUAAUUCGUUUUUCUUUGUCUAAUUCGUCUUUCUUAUGUUUAUGCAACUUCCAUUUCCAGAAUGUCCACCUAUUACUUUUUUCGACACAAAAUGAUAAUAUCUUUCAGAUUUUAGCCGGACUGACUUUUUCGUCCCAUUCAGGUUUUGGGACCGACUUUUUAGAUCUAUUUCACAAAACAUGGGGGGGGGGGUGUCACACCCCCCCCACACACCCCCUAAUGUGCGCCCCUGAAUAACCCAUAGGAUGUUGGCGACAUAGUGAACUUAUUCUCAGGUCGCCAUUACUGAAAUAUGGAAUGCAAUUGUUAUACCAAGUAGCAAUUAUGGCUAUCCGAUACAGAAUGUACAACUUUCAGAAGCUGAGCAAAACAACAUUUUCC